rnacentral:lncRNA from 1 species
UGAUUGCCAGAGGCUGGGGAUAGAGGAAUAGGGAAUUUGACUGCUAUCAGGUACACGGUUUCUUUUUGGAGUGAUCAAAUUGUUCUGGAAGUGGGUAUUGGUGAUAGUUGCACAAACAACUAUACUAAAAACCACUGAAUUAUAUUGUUGGCACACAAAUCAUAUCUCAAUAAAGCUGAAGGAAGGAAGGAAAAAGAAAGAAGGAAGGAAGGAAAGAAAGAAAGGAGAAGAAAGAAAGAAGAAAGAAGGAAAAUAGAGAAAAGAGGAGAGAAGAGAAACCCCUCCCAAGAGUCACGAAGGGGAAAGGCCCUCCUUCUAGUGUUGGCCAAAUUUGCCCCCAGGAACGAAGCCUUCAUUUUCAGCCUCUUUGUAAUUCAUGAGGCUAACCUCACCCAUAUCUGCUUGCCAUGAACUCCUGCCCCAACACAGCUGCUUGGCCACCCUGAUGAAGAAGGCAUCCUUCAGAGACCUGUCCUGGCUCCUCUGCUGCCCUAAGAACUGGCUGUUGGGAUGACACUGACAGAGCCCUGUCAAAGUUUGCUGAUCAUCUCCAGACCAUCAGAGCUCCCCACUGCUGUAUAAUUGAGAAGGGCCUGGCCUUCCACCUGGGAAGGUAACCAGAGCCCUGUUGAAACUCACCUGGUGCUGUCUCUGCUUCAGGUAGAAGAGUGAACUGGCCCCUGGACUUGUGCUUCCUUUACUGACCUGACCUGUGUUUGGCUUUCCCAUCAUCCCUCCCUAUUGGUGUUUUGCUGUAGUCAUCAUGUUUACACAACCCCAUCCUUCCAUGAGUGUGCUGGGAAAAGCUAUCUCAGCAACAUAUACCCAGCAUCUCCUGUUCUCUCCUACUCACUCCAAGUAAAUUCAGGAUGGCUCCUGCUCAAACUUUAAAAGAGUUACUCCUGUGAGCCAGGUGCUUAAUAUAUGUAACUCCACUUAAUCUUCACAACAGCUCUGUAAAAAGAAGAUACAAUUAUCCCCAUCUUUCAAGAUGAGGAAACAGAUUCAAAGAAGGUAAGCAACUUAAUCAAGGUCAUGUGGAUUCAAAUACAGAACUGUCAAGGUUCACUGCCUGGAAUAAUAAGUUCUUCCCUUCACUGAGCAUCUAUCAUAUGUCAGGUAGUGUUCUAGACAACAAUAUUAUUUCAUUGACUCUCACAACAAUUCCAUGAGAUAGGUCUUAGCAUCCCAUAUAAUGGAUGGGAAAACUGAGGUUCGGAAUGAUUAAAAAUAGACAUGCUAAUCACUAUAAUUUGAUCAUUACACAUUGUAUACAUGGAUUGAAAUAUCACUCUCUAGCCCAUAAAUAUGUAA